UCUUGGGGAAAUUCCCCGGGCGCAAGGGCAGAGAGUGCCACCUGGAAACAGGAAUCCCGGCGCGAAUGCCGCUCUCGUGUAAGCGAAGACGGCCAGUUUCGGUUGGCCCGAGCCGGAGAGAGACGGCUUCGUCACACAGCCGCCGUCUUAGCAAAGUUAUGCUGUCUGUAAACACAACGGGGGUCACU
rnacentral:RNase_MRP_RNA from 1 species